AGAGAGAGAGAGUCUCUCAAGCUCUUCAAAACUUCAGCCCCCAAACUUCAGCAGCAGCGGCAGCGAGAAAGACCUUUCGACACAGAGCUGCUGCGGGGGAGGGACCCAAGUUUGGAUCUGAAGCCUCCACAGAACAGCAGGACAAAAGGACAGCUAAAUGCACACACCCACCUGAACUAGCCUGUGCUUAGCAUAGAGAACAAUGGACUCCAUGCAGUCAUUGGAGAGACAAGACAUACUCUAACCAAGGGUAAGAAGAGGAGCCACUUUUCCAUCUUCAGGGCUGGAGACUUCACUGGAGUUUUGGCAAGCUGAAUUACCCUUAAGCAUCAAGUACCUUGAACCUUCCCUCCCCAACCAUUUUACUACGAAAUGGAGCAUAUGAGAGACUACCUUCUCCUUCCCACCAAAACACAUGCUAUGCUAUGCUGCUGCAGCUGAGAUCUGUGUAGGUGCUGGAUCUGAACACCUGUUGAUAUAAAAGAGAGAGGGCUGCUAGCAGGAUGUUUUCUUUUGAAUGCCUCUCGCCCAUUCCCACACACCCCAUCACCUUAAUCUGCUGACCUUUAAGGUAUGCCACAAGGCCCGUUUUUGGAAGAGGGAAGGGAAUACUGCUGGAAGACUGAUAUAGAAGGAAAGGCGGUUAUUUGGUUAUUAUAUUAUAGUGCUAUAUGUUUUCUUUUCAUAUUGAUUAUAAUGAUCUUUCUGUCAUUUUUAAAUAGCUGUCAGAGUAUAAAAUAGGUGCCUUUUGUUGUUUUAUAACUCCAGAUAAAUAAAUAAAACUGUGACCCUAACUCAGACUGGUUGAAUAUCACACUGUGAUUUGAGGGCCUAGAACUAAAGGCAAUCCUUGGCCAAUUUGUCUCCUCCAAUAGCUAUUGGUCCAGGAAACUGGAAAACAAGCUCUGGGGGCCAGACCCUUACUUAACUGGCUAGUGCCACAUGGUAGAGGGGGCUGUUUUAAAUGUUUGAUAUUCAGAUUGGCUUUCUACUUAAAGGAUAAUGGAAUGCAGAAUGAUAAGGAUCAGGCAAAUCAGAAGGAGCAACAUCAUUCUAGUACAAUUGGCAGAUUCACCAAGAUAUCUCAGUGGCUGCUCCUAAGAACCAUGUGUCGCAGGGAAAAAAAUUGUAAUCUGCUUUUGCAUCUGCAUUCUUUGUCAAGGAAGGAAGAGGCAUUUGUGAAGUAGGAUUUAUAAACAAAGAACAGAUAUCAUGCCUCCAUCAGAGCUGAUAUGCUGUGAAUGUAUAUGACCAGAGUAGGCAUUUGCAAGGUAAACUACUAUAUAAAAAGAGCAGCAGUCACUUUAAUGACAAAAUCUCAUCUCUUUUCACUUUUUUUAUUUUUCAGAAACAAAGCAAUUAAUUCAUUCUUUUACUAGCCAUAGUUUCACUAUAAAAUUCAAAAACAUUUUACAUAAACAAAGAGUAAAAAAAAUUGGUGAAUUUUCCUGUUUUGCCUUCUUACAAUUUUAGAAAUAACUAAACAUUGAUGUGGAUUUAUUUAAUUAAAUUAUUUAUUGUUUAAUAUGGUUAAAGUCACUUCACACAGACUUUCCAGGCUUAUUUUUCCCAUAGCUAUAUUUUUCCCCCAAUGAUUCUAAACUAGUGAAAAUAAGGGAUUUAGAUAUAAAUGUUGUCUGUCUAACAAUAUUAUUUAGUGAUGUUUUUGAGCACUAUAAACACUUACUGUGAUAGCUGAUCAAUGUUUUUCUUCCAAUAUAUAUGUGUUUAUAGAUAAAUUUGCUUCUUACAGUUUAGUAAUUCAUUUACCAUAAAUUACGUAGUUUGAUUAUAUGUAAAAUAACUAUAUUAGGUGUUCAAUAUUGGAAUGUUUCAGUCUAGAUUAGCUGUGGUCUAUGGUCACAUGGGAUUUUGUGUUUUCUGUCUGAUUUGGUAAUCACCAUUAUGAAAUAUUUCAGCUAAAUGUUUGCUCUGAUACUCUGAAAUGAGUGAAGCUUCGGGUGUAUACUGGAUAAAACUGAAUAAUAAUUUUCAAUAUAAGUUACCAAUAAAAGCAACAGCCCUUUUGGAACUGCACAGUCAAUGGAAGAAAAGAAAACCUUGCAAUGAAAAUGUUUUUGCUAAUCAUGUGCUGCCAGGAUUACAUAGAGCCAGAUUCUGUGCUACACCUAUUAAAUUCUAUAAGACUUUUCCAAAAUAAUGGCAGCAUGGCUCUACUGGAGUUAGAGUGCCACACAGUUAGAGGUGAUGAAAGGCCCUUGAGCUGGUCCAGAGGUACAGGGCCUCCUUGUGGAUGAUCCUGGUUUCUAGCAGACCUCAGAGGAGCUACAGACUUAAGGGACCAACCCAACUACUUGUUCUGAGGUGGUGAGUGGUUAUCAAACCUUCCCCCCAAAAUAGAAUAUUCUGGGGAAGCUCUCCCAUGAACCUUGAAGCAUUCUCCUCCUAUGUAGUCCCUUCCUGUGGUUUUUCUGUGGGAGGGGGAAAUCUGGUACCUUAUGAUGGUUUUGAGAGCCAGACAUAUCAAAGCAUUUAUAAAAGUGGUCUUCACAUUAGUCAGAUUCUGAAACGUGUAAACAAUUUUAGUUGCUACGUACUUUCAGGUACCGUACUUUAAACAGCAGUGUAUGUUUUGGACUAAAUGUUAUAAAUAUGGGCCCAUAUCCUGAAGACCUUGUUCAAUUUUUACUAAGUCCUUACCCAGGCAAAACUCCCUUGACUUAAUAGGAGUUUGGCCUGUGAAAGAACUUCACGAUUUUGCCAUGUUUUUAAAUAUCUGGGAGCUAUAGUAGGUAUCAUAAUGUGACUAUGCUCUGUAUUUGUUCUGCAUCUUUGGACAAUGUUGCUCACACCUCUAUCCUACACAUCAGUAUGAGAAUGGCAGUAUAUUUCCUGGAGAGAACUAUCUGCAAUGAAAAAAAUGCGUGCUUUUUCAUAAUAAAUUAAAAGUGACCUUCAAAAAAGUCUUGACACUUUUAGCAUAAAGAUUAAGUCCCUGAUCCUCUAACACUCAUGCAUAUGGUGAGCUAUGUGCAUAGUGCCAUUGACUUCAAAGUGACUACUCACAUGUGCAUGAGUUUUUUCAGGAUCGGGGCCUAAAUGAGCAUGGAGAAUGAACUAUCUUCCUAUCACUACAACGUCUUCAGAAUAUGGUUUAGGCACAUUGGUGCUGGAAUGUGGGGAACUCUUUCCAACUUGUAACUUAUGCUGUACCAGUUCUGUUCUAGAGGAUUUCCGUUUAUGACAAAUUCAGUCUUCUAACAAACACCAAAUUCACUUACUAAGUUACAAAAUAAAAGAUAUAUUAUAAA